UACGUAGGGUGCAAGCGUUGUCCGGAAUUAUUGGGCGUAAAGAGCUCGUAGGCGGUUUGUCGCGUCUGCUGUGAAAACCCGAGGCUCAACCUCGGGCCUGCAGUGGGUACGGGCAGACUAGAGUGCGGUAGGGGAGAUUGGAAUUCCUGGUGUAGCGGUGAAAUGCGCAGAUAUCAGGAAGAACACCCGGUGGCUAAGGCGGCUCUCUAGUACGGUACUGACGCUGAGACGCGAAAGCGUGGGGAGCGAACAGG
rnacentral:rRNA from 1 species